rnacentral:lncRNA from 1 species
CUAGCAUCUUGUUUAACAGUUAGUCAACUUGAUUGACUUCUAAAUAUUUGAACGAAUAAUUUGUGGGCUUCUAUUUGUUAUCCUUGCCCUAGGCCCUACUGCUGUUAGAGACAAUGAACCUUUUCUGCCAGUGACUGUGCACAUAUAUGAUUUAAUUUAAGCCUCAUAACCAAACAUCCAGUGUGGCUAAGAUUUACUAAGCCAUUUUAAAUUUGUACAACACAGGAGAUUUUGAAGAACAAGUGUUAUUAACACUGUCAAGUACUGCAAAAGACUAGAAGAAAAAGGUGAUCAAAACAGGACACUGGACUUAACAAGAAAUCUUUAAACACAAUCUUCAAGGAUGGAGGUUUAGUGCAUUGGUGGAGUUCAAAGCUAGAUUGUAUAACAGGAAAAAAACAGUGGUGGAAAAAAAGAGACAUCAAGUUAAGGCUUCCCCUUGAAGUCAGGCAACAAAAAGAGGAAGUAUGAUGUCUGCCUAACACAGAGGAUGUAACCAUAGUGAAGACAGAGAACUGAACGUUAUUGUGAGGAGAAAAUGUGAUGACACUGGAGGAAAUGGAGGUGAAUAUCAGAAGAUAUAUCUCAGCAUGGUGUGAGAACGUUCAACAAACACUGAAUGCCUUAUCUGCUCUAGGUCAUGAAGUCUUUAGAGAUGUGCAAAUAAAUGGCAUGAUCCCAGAUCUCAGGCCAAAUGGGAAGUCUACAAGUUCUCACAAGUCAAGCAGGAAAAAUAACAAGUAACUAGAAAAUUACAGUAGCGGCUAAUGAAUGUUUUAAUGGGGAUAAGCAUGAGUAAAAGGGGAGUGAGCUGGUUUGUAAAUAGGCUACUCUAGCAAGGCA